UACAGAGGCUCCAAGCGUUAGGCGGAAUCGCUGGGCUUAAAGCGUGUGUAGGCGGCUCGGUAAGUAUCUUGUGAAAUCCCACGGCUCAACCGUGGAACUGCUGGAUAUACUGCCGAACUUGAACCACCUAGGGGCGAGCGGAACAGAUGGUGGAGCGGUGAAAUGCAUAGAUAUCAUCUGGAACGCCAAUGGUGAAGACAGCUCGCUGGGGGUGUGUUGACGCUGAGACACGAAAGCCAGGGGAGCGAACGGG
rnacentral:misc_RNA from 1 species